GGGGUUGUAGUUCAGUGGUAGAGCACUCAUCUAGCGCAUGUGAGGCACUGGGUUCGAUUCUCAGCACCA
rnacentral:tRNA from 1 species